rnacentral:rRNA from 1 species
AGUGAACGCUGGCGGUAGGCCUAACACAUGCAAGUCGAACGGCAGCACAGUAAGAGCUUGCUCUUACGGGUGGCGAGUGGCGGACGAGUGAGGAAUACAUCGGAAUCUACUUUUUCGUGGGGGAUAACGUAGGGAAACUUAUGCUAAUACCGCAUACGACCUACGGGUGAAAGCAGGGGAUCUUCGGACCUUGCGCGAUUGAAUGAGCCGAUGUCGGAUUAGCUAGUUGGCGGGGUAAAGGCCCACCAAGGCGACGAUCCGUAGCUGGUCUGAGAGGAUGAUCAGCCACACUGGAACUGAGACACGGUCCAGACUCCUACGGGAGGCAGCAGUGGGGAAUAUUGGACAAUGGGCGCAAGCCUGAUCCAGCCAUACCGCGUGGGUGAAGAAGGCCUUCGGGUUGUAAAGCCCUUUUGUUGGGAAAGAAAAGCAGCAGGUUAAUACCCCGCUGUUCUGACGGUACCCAAAGAAUAAGCACCGGCUAACUUCGUG